UUCUGGCUCAGGAUGAACGCUAGCGGCAGGCUUAACACAUGCAAGGUCGAGGGGCAGCGGGAUGUAGCAAUACAUUGCCGGCGACCGGCGGAUGGGUGCGUAACGCGUAUGCAACCUACCUUAUACAGGGGAAUAACCUUUCGAAAGGGAGACUAACACCCCAUAGUAUUGAUUUAAGGCAUCUUAGAUUAAUUAAAUAUUUAUAGGUAUAAGAUGGGCAUGCGUAUGAUUAGCUAGUUGGUAAGGUAACGGCUUACCAAGGCGACGAUCAUUAGGGGUUCUGAGAGGAAGGUCCCCCACACUGGUACUGAGACACGGACCAGACUCCUACGGGAGGCAGCAGUGAGGAAUAUUGGUCAAUGGGCGCAAGCCUGAACCAGCCAUGCCGCGUGCAAGGAAGACGGCCUUAUGGGUUGUAAACUGCUUUUACAUAAGACUAACCGUAUAUUUGCGAAUAUACCUGAAUGUAUUAUGAGAAUAAGGAUCGGCUAACUCCGUGCCAGCCGCCGC
rnacentral:rRNA from 1 species